rnacentral:rRNA from 1 species
ACUCCAUUGCCGAGUGGUUCCGAUACUGCCCAUCGCCCAGACUCUCCUACCGGGCGGUGUAACCCUGACUCUGUGCCGGGUCUGAGGAUGCCCUCCGUCGUCACCCCUUAUAACGCGUUACCGGCUUUCCGACUGCGUCGCUGCGGCGCACGCCCUCCUUCGGGAAGCCCCGCAUUUGGCGACAGUCACCCCUGCUUGGAGGCCCCACCCUUAUGACGGGGCCAGACUGCCAUGGGUGUCUCCUUCGUGGCCGAUUGAGGCACGGUCGUCGGCGCCAUCAUGCCUCCCACGCUCGCAACAAGCCUUAAUGACCCGCAUUUCUCGCGCAUCCGCCUGCACGUUCAGCCACCACUUUAGGGCCCCGAGUUGGGGCACUGACGAAGGCUAUGACGUACAGAUCCCUGGCCAUCUCCAGCCACCUUAAGGGCCACAUCGCCACCUUACGCAUCUAUAGCCCUCCUUGUGGACACCGCUUCCGCCGGCUGACCCGGCCUAGGCUGCGACUCCGCGCUUUCGCACCCCUCGUUUGUCCUAAUCUAUGGGACCAUCAGGUGCGGCAUUUGCUACCCACGAUCUACGGCCCCCCUCGCUGGGGAAGCCACAGCGUCGAUUGCGUAAUUCGUGGGGCG